CCUACGUGGGCAGCAGUGAGGAAUAUUUGUCAAUGGGCGGAAGCCUGAACCAGCCAAGUAGCGUGCAGGAUGACGGCCCUACGGGUUGUAAACUGCUUUUAUACGGGAAUAACGCGCCUUACGUGUAGGGCUUUGCAUGUACCGUAUGAAUAAGGACCGGCUAAUUCCGUGCCCGCAGCCGCGGUCAUACGGAGGGUCAGGGCGUUAUCCGGAUUUAUGGGGUUUAAAGGGAGCGUAGGCCGCAUGUCAAGCGUGCUGUGAAAUGUCCGGGCUCAACCCGGGCCUUGCAGCGCGAACUGGCGUGCUUGAGUCCGCGGAAAGCAGGCGGAAUUCGUCGUGUAGCGGUGAAAUGCUUAGAUAUGACGAAGAACCCCGAUUGCGAAGGCAGCUUGCUGCAGCGGAACUGACGCUGAUGCUCGAAAGCGCGGGUAUCGAACAGGAUUAGAUACCCCUGUAGUC
rnacentral:rRNA from 1 species